rfam:Oryza rufipogon genomic scaffold, chr05
UAAAAAACAAACUCUGGGUUUCCGUGUCCAACUUUGACUGUCCGUCUUAUAUAAAAUUUUUUUAUAAUUCGUAUUUUCAUUGUUAGAUGAUAAAACAUAAUUAAUAUUUUAUGCGUGACUUGUCGUUUUAAUUUUUUUCAUAAUUUUUUUAAAUAAGACGGACGAUCGAAUAUUGGACACGGAAACCAGGGUUUGUAUUUUUU